rnacentral:rRNA from 1 species
UACAGAGGGUGCAAGCGUUAAUCGGAAUUACUGGGCGUAAAGCGUGCGUAGACGGUUACAUAAGUCGGGUGUGAAAGCCCCGGGCUUAACCUGGGAACUGCACUUGUGACUGCACAGCUGGAGUGCGGCAGAGGGGGAUGGAAUUCCGCGUGUAGCAGUGAAAUGCGUAGAUAUGCGGAGGAACACUGAUGGCGAAGGCAAUCCCCUGGGCCUGCACUGACGCUCAUGCACGAAAGCGUGGGGAGCAAACAGG